GAUGAACGCUGGCGGCGUGCCUAAUACAUGCAAGUCGAGCGAACGGACGAGAAGCUUGCUUCUCUGAUGUUAGCGGCGGACGGGUGAGUAACACGUGGAUAACCUACCUAUAAGACUGGGAUAACUUCGGGAAACCGGAGCUAAUACCGGAUAAUAUUUUGAACCGCAUGGUUCAAAAGUGAAAGACGGUCUUGCUGUCACUUAUAGAUGGAUCCGCGCUGCAUUAGCUAGUUGGUAAGGUAACGGCUUACCAAGGCAACGAUGCAUAGCCGACCUGAGAGGGUGAUCGGCCACACUGGAACUGAGACACGGUCCAGACUCCUACGGGAGGCAGCAGUAGGGAAUCUUCCGCAAUGGGCGAAAGCCUGACGGAGCAACGCCGCGUGAGUGAUGAAGGUCUUCGGAUCGUAAAACUCUGUUAUUAGGGAAGAACAUAUGUGUAAGUAACUGUGCACAUCUUGACGGUACCUAAUCAGAAAGCCACGGCUAACUACGUGCCAGCAGCCGCGGUAAUACGUAGGUGGCAAGCGUUAUCCGGAAUUAUUGGGCGUAAAGCGCGCGUAGGCGGUUUUUUAAGUCUGAUGUGAAAGCCCACGGCUCAACCGUGGAGGGUCAUUGGAAACUGGAAAACUUGAGUGCAGAAGAGGAAAGUGGAAUUCCAUGUGUAGCGGUGAAAUGCGCAGAGAUAUGGAGGAACACCAGUGGCGAAGGCGACUUUCUGGUCUGUAACUGACGCUGAUGUGCGAAAGCGUGGGGAUCAAACAGGAUUAGAUACCCUGGUAGUCCACGCCGUAAACGAUGAGUGCUAAGUGUUAGGGGGUUUCCGCCCCUUAGUGCUGCAGCUAACGCAUUAAGCACUCCGCCUGGGGAGUACGACCGCAAGGUUGAAACUCAAAGGAAUUGACGGGGACCCGCACAAGCGGUGGAGCAUGUGGUUUAAUUCGAAGCAACGCGAAGAACCUUACCAAAUCUUGACAUCCUUUGACAACUCUAGAGAUAGAGCCUUCCCCUUCGGGGGACAAAGUGACAGGUGGUGCAUGGUUGUCGUCAGCUCGUGUCGUGAGACGUUGGGUUAAGUCCCGCAACGAGCGCAACCCUUAAGCUUAGUUGCCAUCAUUAAGUUGGGCACUCUAAGUUGACUGCCGGUGACAAACCGGAGGAAGGUGGGGAUGACGUCAAAUCAUCAUGCCCCUUAUGAUUUGGGCUACACACGUGCUACAAUGGACAAUACAAAGGGCAGCGAAACCGCGAGGUCAAGCAAAUCCCAUAAAGUUGUUCUCAGUUCGGAUUGUAGUCUGCAACUCGACUACAUGAAGCUGGAAUCGCUAGUAAUCGUAGAUCAGCAUGCUACGGUGAAUACGUUCCCGGGUCU
rnacentral:rRNA from 1 species